rfam:Vitis vinifera, whole genome shotgun sequence of line PN40024, unoriented chromosome 8, chr8
UUUGGAUCAGUGAUGUUACUAAUGAACUGCGUUAUCUAUCUGCAACUCCCCAAAAGGGAUUGAAGAUAAAUGUGAUAGCCUGAGAUCUUAC